GCCACACCUAGGCUAGUUUUAUACACCCGUGCUGUUUCUGAGGUAGGAAAUGAUCUCUUGCUCAGUUGGUGGGGCUCUCUUGCAGUCUGGCUGCUGUAGUGCCAAAGCAUUCAGCAGUGGGGGUUUGGUGGUGGUAAUUUUACUUUCCGGGCUUCUGCAGCAGCCUUUGUAAAGCAGUCCAUACAUGGAGUCAAAAGAGCUGUUGUGGUUAAAAGCAGGCAAACUUGUGGUGCUGUAAAUGUUUUCAACCUUUCUGAUUUUGUCUAUUUAACGUAGGUAGGAAUUUUAGAGUCAGAAAGGAUUUGCUGGGGAAAUAAAUUUUGACUCACAGGAAAAAGACUGAGCUAAUUAAAAGAUAAUUGAAAAAAUCAAAACCAUCAGUGUUUGAUGUUUUAAAAUUAGUUUAGUUUAUUAACACAAAUACAAAAAUUCAAAACCUGCUUUUCUACGUGAGUCUUUCUGCCUGUUUAGUAGUGCAGGAAAUGCAAGCACCUUCCAUUAGCCCCUCAAAUUUGUAUUUUGCUAAAUUGAACAAGUAAAGACUUACAGGUUGUUGUUAUUUCACAGACUUUUUCCUAAGUUAACUUUACAAAAAGUAUGAAAUGAGCAUAUGAUAUGUGAAGAUAAGAGUUAUUUGGUAAAUUCCUCUAUGGACUGGGAAAAUGUGUUUGUUGUGACAGACAAUUUAAAAGGCAUUCUCUUUGUUCCCAAGCAGGCCCUUCUGAAACAUCAGAGAUGGAUGAAAAAAUUGCUCUUGCAAAAAGUUACACAGCUUUUCCAGUUUGAAUUAAAAAUACUGUUUUGCCCAUUUUCUGACGUUAGAAAAAACUAACCUGUGUUUCAAGCUAUGACAUUCAUUAUAUGGUCAGAGUGGUUGUGCUGUUGUCAAUUUUUAAGAUUCAGAAGUUGAGUCUUUAGGUUUUCAUAUGAACGUUAUAAUUCUGGAUUUUUGGCUUCUGAAAAUCCUUGCUUUGAAUACUCAGUGUUUAAAAAAAAAAAAAGUUUUUUUUUGUAUGUUUGUUAUGCUAUGUUUUUGCUUUAUAUUUGUCUAAAGGAAGCCACCAGGGUUCAGUUUGCAGUGAAGGAACAGAUGUGGAAAUACUGGUAGAAGGUUAGAGAUAUGAAAUGUUUUUGAAGAAAAUAAAUAACAUCAUUGGAUUUUUCUUUUUAUGGAA
rnacentral:lncRNA from 1 species